CGGGGGAUGCUCGGAGCCGGCGGGGGGGGUGCGGUGUCUCUGCCCCCGCGGCGGGGGAAGCCGCAGCGCUGCCAGCUGCAGUAGCAGCACAAGGUGCAACGUUAUAUCCAUGUACAGUUCCGUGGGCUUCACACCCAUGGAAAUGGAAAAGUGCGAGGCGAAGAAUGAAUUAUCGGGGCGUUUCAAUAGGUCGUGCUGCUGAGCGCUGAUUCACUUUGCCAACAUUACAAAACCCUGUUUCCGUGCUUUAAUAAUUCACACUGUCGUCUCAGAAUUCUGUGGAACUGGAGCUGAUCCUGUGCUUAUGACUAGUGGUUCUUCCAUUAAGCUGUGUUGCCCCACAGAUGGCUGCAUUUGCACAAAAAGCAUUGCAGAAGAUUGAUGUGGCAGCAGGAACAAGUGGCAUAGGGAAGGAAGAGAACUGUCCAGAUCAAUUUUGCCUCUGGAAAAAAUGCAGUAGGGAAAUGCAUUCUGACUUGCAACCAGAGAAGAGAGGAUAAAAGCCUUUGAUGAAUUAAAAUAUCUGCAAUACACAUGGAUAGCAAAACAGAAAUCAGGCAUGCAAAAAUAGAAAAUAUUAAUAAAUGCCACUAUAUAACUGAUAAAUAUUUUAUAGAAAUACAGCUAAGAGACAAAAUUCACAGAACAGGAAUAAGUGUUGAAUACCAUCAGAUUUCUGUUUGCCCAUUGUGAAAGAUUAUUUGCUGUGCACUGAUUGUCACAAAUUGUACUGAGUGCAGUAGAUAAAAAAAAAAAAUAAUAAUACCUGUGUACCAUGGUGGCAAGGCUAGGAUAAUGGAUUAGCAAGAAAUAGAGCUAUCUAAUAUAGAUGCAAUCUCACUGAUCCAAGUUACAAAGUGGCAAGAUACCAGUAAAUAAUGUGCAAGCUGAGAACUUUCCAGAUUUUUGGCAUGUCAUAAAACAUUAAAGAUAAAGGCAUCCAUAGCCAUUUCAAACAUCUCAGAUAUCUUAGAAUUACAUCAUCUGAUCUAAUCAGUUUCUGUAGUAGUCAAUAAAGAAAAAGUAGAAAAUUGGUGGUAUAUAGAACUGCAGUCCCUAGAACAUGCCUAUUGCAAGAAAGAAAAUCUGCUUAAAUAAAUAAAAAUUAUUUAGGUUUAUUUUCAGCCACUAUGACAGAGAAUAAAAGUAGGUUGAGGAAUCGCAGUGCCUAAACCCAAAAAGUGCUCCUAAACACAUUUAAGAUGUCACUCAACUUACAAGACUCCAGAAGUCUGCAAAAGACUACUAUAUGAGCUUAAAAUUUCUCAAAUGCCUAAAACUCUACUCCUAGAUGUAAUAUUUAAGCUCUGGAGGUAAGGAGUUGCAGGAUGCAGAAGUGAUACCUGUGUAUUUUCUUGGAGUUAGCCAUUUUUAAAGGCCAGUUGUCUAUUACUGUCAGUAUCAUCAAGGAACUUCAAUUUGUUAAAGAAAUAAAUAAAAGUCAA